rnacentral:rRNA from 1 species
CAGUAGCCGCGGGAAUACGUAGGUGGCGAGCGUUGUCCGGAAUCAUUGGGCGUAAAGGGAGCGCAGGCGGGCAUGUAAGUCUUUCUUAAAAGUUCGGGGCUCAACCCCGUGAUGGGAAAGAAACUACAUGUCUUGAGUACAGGAGAGGAAAGCGGAAUUCCCAGUGUAGCGGUGAAAUGCGUAGAUAUUGGGAGGAACACCAGUGGCGAGGGCGGCUUUCUGGACUGCAACUGACGCUGAGGCUCGAAAGCCAGGGGAGUGAACGGGAUUAGAUACCCGAGUAGUCCCUGUCUCUUAUACA